GCGCUCGUAGCUCAGAUGGAUAGAGCGUCGCCCUCCGGAGGCGAAGGUCACAGGUUCGAAUCCUGUCGAGCGCA
rnacentral:tRNA from 1 species